UAGCAUGUAGUGAUGACAUCGUGUGACAAAAGACAAACCCAUAAAUAGGCAAAAAUAAUAAUAUUAUUAUUAUCCAAUGCUUUGUACUUAAGGGAUGUAAUUGAUUGGGGUUGAAUCAAAGUUAACUCAACCCCAACCCAAUCAGCCUGCCUUUGGUUUGGUUUAGUUUGGUUUAGUUGUUCCACAUGCUCAUGAGAAAG
rnacentral:lncRNA from 1 species